ACUUGGUGGUUGAAUUAGGGUUCUAUGAUUUAGGGGUAAGGAGGAAUUUCCUCGUUGGCUAUUAUGCUGGGGCGGCAAAAAUAAAAUUCGUAACUGUUUGGGACAAAAAAUAAUUAUUAUUAGAGUGUGACCUUGAAUUUUAGGUUAAAAGAUUAAGUU
rnacentral:rRNA from 1 species